rnacentral:rRNA from 1 species
AACGAACGCUGGCGGCAUGCCUAACACAUGCAAGUCGAACGAGACCUUCGGGUCUAGUGGCGCACGGGUGCGUAACGCGUGGGAACCUGCCCUUAGGUUCGGAAUAACUCCCCGAAAGGGGUGCUAAUACCGGAUAAUGUCUUCGGACCAAAGAUUUAUCGCCUUUGGAUGGGCCCGCGUUGGAUUAGCUAGUUGGUAGGGUAAAAGCCUACCAAGGCGACGAUCCAUAGCUGGUCUGAGAGGAUGAUCAGCCACACUGGGACUGAGACACGGCCCAGACUCCUACGGGAGGCAGCAGUGGGGAAUAUUGGACAAUGGGCGAAAGCCUGAUCCAGCAAUGCCGCGUGAGUGAUGAAGGCCUUAGGGUUGUAAAGCUAUUUUACCCGGGAUGAUAAUGACAGUACAGGGAGAAUAAGCUCCGGCUAACUCCGUG